UCCCGUGUGGCUCAGUUGGUAGAGCAUGGUGUUUGCAACGCCAGGGUCGUGGGUUCGAUUCCCACAGGGGAC
rnacentral:tRNA from 1 species